CUACAAUAAGUCUUGAUGUCGACACUUCUAGACAUACCUUUAUUUGAUUCACCAGUUUCGUAACCUUGGUGAAGAAAUCAGUUAUGCUUUCAUUGUCUUCCAUCUGAAGCAAUUAAUAUGUCCUUUUGUGACUUUGUAACCUCACCUCUUUCACAUUCUCCACGCAUCCAAAUGACUUCUCCAAAAUUUCCCAUGCUUCUUU
rnacentral:lncRNA from 1 species